AGUGUUAAUUACUUUCUCUCUCUCUCUCUUUACGUAAUUACUUUUUGUUUGGUUAAUUGUUUUUAAUUAUUAUUCUUUAAUGUUAUUACAGUGAUUCCAAUACAUAUAAUAAUCAUUAGAUUAAUAAAUUAUUUCACUUGAUUAGUUUCAAGUGUUUAUUUUGUGUUUUAAUGAAUUGAAAAUACAGAAGCUGUGAAAACGCCCAUUGAAAAGGUGUAAAUGUAAUUAUUACAUUGAAUUGUAAUUACGUUCACUUAUUGUGUUUACCAUGAGAAAAACGGUUUAGAGAUUUGGUUUAUUUAUCUAUUUUCUUGAGAACAUACAUUUUAUUGGAUUAACCAGAUUAUUGAAGAAAAAUAAGCAGAAUUGGUUUUAAUUGGUGUAAAUCUAAUUUCCUGGUGUAUAAACAACAACAAAAAUCCUUUUUGGUUCCUUCAUUUUCCCUCUUCCAUUUCUUAUAUAUAAUUGCUGUUGAUCGUGAAAAACUGAUGAUCAUCAUCAUGUUGAUGGUUUAAAAACAAUAUUGUGAUUACAAUUGCAAUAAUGUAUCAACCAAUUUGAAAUGUUCAUCACCUUAAAUCAACAACUUUCUCAUGAUUGUUGUUGUUGUUGUUGUUACCUGUUAAUUGUGGCAAAAGAAAACAAUCAAUCCAAACUAACACAUUAACUCACUAUUAAUGUUAUGUAAAGGAUAGUGUUAAUUACUAUAUUUCCUUGAUAAUCAAAAGAGUUUCUUUUGUCAAGUAAAAUCGUAUUGAUUAACAUAUCAUCAUACUUUCAACAACAAUUAGAUAAUAAUUCAGUGCUUUGAUUUGAUAGAGAAAACUUCAAUCAUCUGAUAUAAUAUAUUUAAUAACAAUUAUAAAUCACGUUAUCACAAUAAUUAUAUUUUAGUGUACACCUUAGUGGAUAUGAUGUCUACCUAUAGUAAUUAACUUAAUUUAAGCUUUGAUAAUUUAAAGAUUCUGUUCAGAUUAAUGUUAUACUUAACACGAAAAAAAAAGUACAACCAGUUGAUCAAUUACUCUUAGAUAUACAAUAAUUUAACUAAAGUUAAUCAUUAAUACGUUUUUUUUGGUGAUUAUUAUAUUAAUACUUAAUGAUUACAUUUGAUUCUGUUUGAAAAAAUCAAAUGUAAUCACGAUUUAAACAACAACAAUUUAAUCAAAGGAGAAGCAAGAAAAUUACGGAUAAAUUGUUGUUACCAGGAAGUUAAUUGUUCAAGUUGAAAAAGGAUCUGGAUUCGUUUUCGUGUCAACAAUUAACGUCAUUGGGAUAGACAAUUAAAUGAUUACACUCGAAAGGAUUGCAAUUAAUGAUUUCACUUUUUCGUUUUGCAUGUUAAAUAAUCAACUUUCAAUAAUUUCAUCAUGAUGGUGAUGAUGAUGAUGAUUAUCAUGUUGAUGGUCAACAAUUAUUUAGAUUGAUUCAGUUAUCCCCUUAGGCCUUAAAUACAAAUGAUCACCGUAACUAAAUCAACAACAUUUGCUGUUUUUAAUGUGUAUCACAAUUUUUAUUUAUUGACAGACUAAUUUGAAUACACACAUAACUAAUUGUUGACAGUUUAUUGAUCAAUUGAUUACUUAUUAACCAAUUAACUUAAAUUUUUAGUUACGAUUUCAUGUUGAUGAUUAUCAUCAUUUUUACCUUGAUUGUCUGGAUUCUGGAUUCUGGAUUCUGGUGACUUGGUCAGGAUAACCAUGAUUACUAAAUGACCACACCUUUACCUUUGAAUUGAUGAUUUCCUGUUCAUUUGUUUAUGAUGAAGAUGAAGAUGAUUAAGAUAAAUUAAGUUGUGAUGGAGAAGAAAAAUUUUCAGGAUUGGUUUUAAAUUCUGAUGAAAUAUUUACUUUGAACAUUUUUUUUUCUUCUUUUUCGCCUUAAUUUAACUGAUUACUGGUUAUUAACUUAAUUCAGUUUGAUUGAGCUUUUCCUAAUGAAGAGUAAUUUGUUGAUUAA